rnacentral:rRNA from 1 species
UACGUAGGGGGCUAGCGCUGUCCGGAUUUAUUGGGCGUAAAGAGCGUGUAGGCGGCCAGGUAGGUCUGCUGUGAAAACUCGAGGCUCAACCUCGAGACGUCGGCGGAAACCAUCUGGCUAGAGUCCGGAAGAGGAGAGUGGAAUUCCUGGUGUAGCGGUGAAAUGCGCAGAUAUCAGGAAGAACACCCGUGGCGAAGGCGGCUCUCUGGACCGAUACUGACGCUGAGGCGCGAAAGCGUGGGGAGCAAACAGG